rnacentral:rRNA from 1 species
GACGAACGCUGGCGGCGUGCUUAACACAUGCAAGUCGAACGGAAAGGCCCUGCUUUUGUGGGGUGCUCGAGUGGCGAACGGGUGAGUAACACGUGAGUAACCUGCCCUUGACUUUGGGAUAACUUCAGGAAACUGGGGCUAAUACCGGAUAGGAGCUCCCGCUGCAUGGUGGGGGUUGGAAAGUUUCGGCGGUUGGGGAUGGACUCGCGGCUUAUCAGCUUGUUGGUGGGGUAGUGGCUUACCAAGGCUUUGACGGGUAGCCGGCCUGAGAGGGUGACCGGCCACAUUGCGACUGAGAUACUGCCCAGACUCCAACGGGGGGCAGCGGUGGGAAAUAUUGCACAAUGGGCGGAAGCCUGAUGCAGCAACGCCGCGUGCGGGAUGACGGCCUUCGGGUUGUAACCCGCUUUCGCCUGUGACGAAGCGUGGGUGACGGUAAUGGGUAAAGAAGCACCGGCUAACUUCGUG